rnacentral:rRNA from 1 species
AGUGAACGCUGGCGGCAGGCCUAAUACAUGCAAGUCGAACGGCAGCACAGCAGAGCUUGCUCUGUGGGUGGCGAAUGGCGGACGGGUGAGGAAUACAUGGGAAUCUGCCCAGUCGUGGGGGAUAACGUAGGGAAACUUACGCUAAUACCGCAUGCGCCCUUCGGGGGAAAGCCGGGGACCGUUCGGGCCGUGGCGCGAUUGGAUGAGCCCAUGUCGGAUUAGCUAGUUGGCGGGGUAAUGGCCCACCAAGGCGACGAUCCGUAGCUGGUCUGAGAGGAUGAUCAGCCACACUGGAACUGAGACACGGUCCAGACUCCUACGGGAGGCAGCAGUAGGGAAUAUUGGACCAAUGGGCGCAAGCCUGAUCCAGCCAUG